CAGUGUGUAUCCCCCCAGCCCUUCCGGAUCCCCACUCCUGAUGGUAGAGGCUGCAGAAAGAUCUGGGACCUUUAGUUUCUGGCCAAUGUUGGGGUAGAAGGGCUGCUUGGCAUCCACCUAUCCUGCCCUGGGGGAACAUCACAAUCUGCCUUUGGCUGGCCUGUGGUCCUUUGGGGCUAAGUUGGGGUCAGCCCAGUUCAGGGCCAAGGCCAGUUCUUUUUCUGCCUGGCUUUGAGCUACAUGACCUUUGAUCUGCUGUCUGAGACUCUGCCAUAUGUCUGUCUGUCCAUUCUUUCUACUAGAUUUUGGGAGGCCAUCAGAUGGGGUCACACAGCUUCAGAUCCAGGCAGGGCCGACCCUCCGGCUAUGGAACUCUUCCCUGGAUGUGGGCUCCAGAGGAGGGACCUCCGUGGGAGGCCCCGUGCCUGUCCUAUAACCCAUGCAGUCUCCAUCUCCUGGAUGAUUGGGCGACCAAGCUGUGAAACCACCCCUUCACUGGGCCCCACUGGCUUCCUCUGCCUGCCUGGAAGGGAACUCCAAGAGAGGGGGUGCCGGAAUCUGCAG